CAGUCGCCGCGGGAAUACGUAGGGUGCAAGCGUUAAUCGGAAUUACUGGGCGUAAAGCGUGCGCAGGCGGUUAUAUAAGACAGAUGUGAAAUCCCCGGGCUCAACCUGGGAACUGCAUUUGUGACUGUAUAGCUAGAGUACGGCAGAGGGGGAUGGAAUUCCGCGUGUAGCAGUGAAAUGCGUAGAUAUGCGGAGGAACACCGAUGGCGAAGGCAAUCCCCUGGGCCUGUACUGACGCUCAUGCACGAAAGCGUGGGGAGCAAACAGGAUUAGAUACCCCCGUAGUCCUGUCUCUAUACAC
rnacentral:rRNA from 1 species